CGCGGGCUAACCCGAGAGCAGUUAGUUCGGUUCAAGAAAUCCCCUGAAUGCAGUAUAUUUCGCAAAGCUUCGCAGUGCAUCAAACGAUCAAUAUCAAGAAAACUCAUAGCAUCAGUUCGUGAGUAUGCGGAAUUUGGCAAAGCCCGCCGAGCGAAUUGUACUGCAGUAAUUACCUACCGAAUGUCGACCGUAGGGUGGCAUGUGGGCGGCCAGGCUCUCGUCCUUGAUGUCCUUGGUGUCGCGAAAGACCACCGUCUUGAUGACGCCCUUGAUGUGCUCGUCGGGCCAGAUGCCCAGAAGGAUUCGCUGCGGCCUGCCACGCCCCUUGGGCCGCAGGUCGGGCCCGCCGUCGAUGGAAGGUCCCAGCAUAUUGUGCACCCUGUUGGCAUAGAGCACGAACGUGGGAUACGGGAUGUCGUACUUGCGGGCGGCCUGGGAGAGCGAAAGGCCCUCCUUCAGCACACUGAAAAUGGCCUCCGCCAUGGUCUCGGGUCGCCAGGACUUGAGAGGACCUCGCUCGCGGAAGCGCAUGUGGUGCAUCAGGUUCUGGUUGGUGUUCCAGCACUUCUGCCACAUGGACUGCAGCUGGUACUGGUAGCUGUCUGCUGAAAGAUCAAGAGGAGAGAGGCCGACGAUCAGUGGGUUUCCAGCUGCCCGGCGGGGCUGCUCUACGAACCUGCCAGCGUGGAUCCGGUGGCGCCCAUCCAGGCGUGCGAGUUCUCCAUCAUUUUGGCCUGCGAAUGCAGAAAAGUAAAUUCAAGUAUCAGCAAAGUGAGGCAGGAGAAGAAAGGCUUAGCUGGUCGCAGGGGCAUCGAAGUUGAAGCUGAAGUUGCAAAUGCAACCGAAGAAACCGGAGGCACUAGGCUGCAGAGAGUUAAAUGCACUGGGGGAAAAUAUCCCCUACAU